rnacentral:rRNA from 1 species
GACGAACGCUGGCGGCGUGCUUAACACAUGCAAGUCGAACGGAAAGGCCCUGCUUUUGUGGGGUGCUCGAGUGGCGAACGGGUGAGUAACACGUGAGUAACCUGCCCUUGACUUUGGGAUAACUUCAGGAAACUGGGGCUAAUACCGGAUAGGAGCUCCUGCUGCAUGGUGGGGGUUGGAAAGUUUCGGCUGUUGGGGAUGGACUCGCGGCUUAUCAGCUUGUUGGUGGGGUAGUGGCUGACCAAGGCUUUGACGGGUAGCCGGCCUGAGAGGGUGACCGGCCACAUUGGUACUGAGAGACGGACCAGACUCCUACGGGAGGCAGCAGGGGGGAAUAUUGCACAAUGGGCGGAAGUGUGAUGCAGCAACGCCGCGUGCGGGAUGACGGCCUUCGGGUUGUAAACCGCUUUCGCCUGUGACGAAGCGUGAGUGACGGUAAUGGGUAAAGAAGCACCGGCUAACUACGUG